GGGCACUUGGUCUAGGGGUAUGAUUUUCGCUUCGCAUUUGUGACCAUAUGAGUAUCUGUGUGUAUGUGAAAGGUCAAGAGUUCAAUUCUCUUAGUGUCCA